AAAAUUCAUUUUUUGUUUGAAUAAGGGAGAACCAUCUUCAAAACAAAUAAAUAUUUAAAAUAUAUCAAUAGAGAAUAGUACUGUGAAGGAAAGAUGAAAAAGAACCUUUAUAAUAUAUAUGGAGUGAAAUAGAACUUAAAAUUAAAUACAUAAAAGCGAUUGAAGUAACUUUAAAAUAUGUUAUAACAAUGUACCUUUUGUAUAAUGGGUCAGCGAGUUAAUAUAAUUAGUAAUUUUAAAAUUUUUGAAAGAUUUUAAAAGAUAGCGAAAGCGAGUUUUAAUUAAGCAUUAAUUAAUUAUAUUAUUACCCGAAACCGGAUGAUCUAAACAUGUUUAGAUUAAAUAAAAAAUUUUAUAAACUUUUAUAUUAAUUUAUUAAUUAUAUAAAAAAUAUUUAUAUUUAAUUAUAAUGGAUCGAACUCGUGUAUGUUGCAAAAUACUGGGAUGAAAUGUGUUUAGGGGUG
rnacentral:rRNA from 1 species